GUAUUGGUGGUUCAUUGGCAGAAUUUUCACCUUCCAUGUGGGAGACCUGGGUUCAGUUCCCUACCAGUGCA
rnacentral:tRNA from 1 species